rnacentral:lncRNA from 1 species
AUUUCCGGAAACGUAACAUCGUGUCCACAGUGGUUUUUCUGUUUUCGUGUAAACUCCACAGCUUUUGACCCAAUUAAAAACCAAUAAUAUUGGCUAGGAGAAAAUAUCUUGUCCAAAUAUCCGGAUAAUAAUCUCGAGUAGGGAUCUCGAACGAAUAGAAAUUUAGAAUUUUCUUUUAAAAUAUAAUGACAAUUGUCCAGCUUCUGAGAUUGGAAAGAUUUGUAGUUUUGCAAACAAUCCCGAGGUUUAAUCGAGUACGGACUUCAUGUUUAUGGAGUAACUGAAUAAGACGUCGCCAAAAUGUUGAUCCUACUUUCUCAAUUCCUCAAUAUACCAUCUUCUCCUGCAUAUGUGCUUUGAAAUUGUCUUCAUCUGACCUUCCGACAUCAAUCCUGUUGUAGCACUGCUGGUCUAGGUUAUGUUUUCUACUCUUCAUGAUCCUACCUGAUGUAUGGUCCU